rnacentral:rRNA from 1 species
UACGAAGGGGGCUAGCGUUGCUCGGAAUUACUGGGCGUAAAGCGCACGUAGGCGGCUUCUUAAGUCGGUGGUGAAAUCCUGGAGCUCAACUCCAGAACUGCCUUCGAUACUGGGAGCUCGAGUCCGGGAGAGGUGAGUGGAACUGCGAGUGUAGAGGUGAAAUUCGUAGAUAUUCGCAAGAACACCAGUGGCGAAGGCGGCUCACUGGCCCGGUACUGACGCUGAGGUGCGAAAGCGUGGGGAGCGAACAGG